AUUGAACGCUGGCGGCAUGAUUUACACAUGCAAGUCGAACGGUAACAGGCCGCAAGGUGCUGACGAGUGGCGAACGGGUGAGUAAUGCAUCGGAACGUGCCCAGUCGUGGGGGAUAACUACUCGAAAGAGUAGCUAGUACCGCAUACGAUCUAUGGAUGAAAGCGGGGGACCGUAAGGCCUCGCGCGAUUGGAGCGGCCGAUGUCAGGUUAGGUAGUUGGUGGGGUAAAGGCUCACCAAGCCAACGAUCUGUAGCUGGUCUGAGAGGACGACCAGCCACACUGGGACUGAGACACGGCCCAGACUCCUACGGGAGGCAGCAGUGGGGAAUUUUGGACAAUGGGCGCAAGCCUGAUCCAGCAAUGCCGCGUGCAGGAAGAAGGCCUUCGGGUUGUAAACUGCUUUUGUACGGAACGAAACGGCUCUGGUUAAUACCCGGGGCUAAUGACGGUACCGUAAGAAUAAGCACCGGCUAACUACGUG
rnacentral:rRNA from 1 species